rnacentral:lncRNA from 1 species
AGUUGGGGGAUAGAUGGAUAUUUCUAUCUAAAAAGAGACACUGAUUUACCAUAUGGUGUUUGUGCUGUCAAUGCCAUGGCUUCUUAUCCAACUAAACAAUCCUCUUCACCAUCCCCUUAUCCAUCGCCAAGUGUUCCUCCACCGCCACCUCCUUCAACUCCACCACCACCACCACCUCCAUCUCCUUCACCAAGUGAUUGUGGAGACUUUUCCUAUUGUUCAAGUGAUGAGACAUGCUGUUGCCUUUUUGAAUUCUAUGAUUAUUGCCUAAUAUACGGCUGCUGUGAAUAUGAAAAUGCUGUUUGCUGUACUGGAACUGAAUACUGCUGCCCUAGUGAUUACCCCAUUUGUGAUGUCCAAGAAGGACUCUGCCUCAAGGUACCAAAAUCUGAUCUUUAGCAUCCAAAUUUAGCCUGCAUUUAACAUUAACAAGAAUUUGACUGUUUUACUGUAAAUUCAUUCAAAUUCAGAACACUGAAGACUAUCUGGGAGUAGCAGCUAGGAAGCGAAAGGUGGCUAAACACAAAUUACCAUGGACUAAAAUAGAGGAAACAGAGAAGACAUACCAGCCUCUGCAAUGGAAAAGGAACCCUUUUGCUGCAAUGCGUUGAAAAAAGUGAAAAAUUACAUAUCAUCUCUUAAACCUUGAAGGUUGUUUUCACCUUUUUUAUUUUUCUUUC